rfam:Prevotella maculosa OT 289 genomic scaffold supercont1.8, whole genome shotgun sequence.
GGUUGUUCCGGUUCGAUCGGGAUACUCAUCAAAUAAUAUCGAAAACCGAGAAAGCUUCUCUUGUCAAUGGCGGGCCACAUAAACUUCGACGAAGCCAAGCUUUCGGGCCGGUGGAUUACAAAGACGGAGAGCGCUCAACUAUUGAAAUGCUCGGAGUUUCAUCACAUCAUCGGGCAACCCCUUUC